rnacentral:rRNA from 1 species
UACGUAGGGUGCAAGCGUUAAUCGGAAUUACGGGGCGUAACGCGUGCGCAGGCGGUUUUGUAAGUCUGACGUGAAAUCCCCGGGCUCAACCUGGGAAUUGCGUUGGAGACUGCAAGGCUAGAAUCUGGCAGAGGGGGGUAGAAUUCCACGUGUAGCAGUGAAAUGCGUAGAGAUGUGGAGGAACACCGAUGGCGAAGGCAGAAACCUGGGUCAAGAUUGACGCUCAUGCACGAAAGCGU